UACAGAGGGGGCAAGCGUUGUUCGGAAUUACUGGGCGUAAAGGGCGCGUAGGCGGCCCGCUAAGUCGAACGUGAAAUCCCCGAGCUCAACUCGGGAACUGCGUCCGAUACUGGUGGGCUUGAAUCCGGGAGAGGGAUGCGGAAUUCCAGGUGUAGCGGUGAAAUGCGUAGAUAUCUGGAGGAACACCGGUGGCGAAGGCGGCGUUCUGGACCAAUACUGACACUGAGGAGCGAAAGCCAGGGGAGCAAACGGG
rnacentral:rRNA from 1 species